UACGUAGGGUGCAAGCGUUAAUCGGAAUUACUGGGCGUAAAGCGUGCGCAGGCGGUUCGCUAAGACAGAUGUGAAAUCCCCGGGCUUAACCUGGGAACUGCAUUUGUGACUGGCGGGCUAGAGUAUGGCAGAGGGGGGUAGAAUUCCACGUGUAGCAGUGAAAUGCGUAGAGAUGUGGAGGAAUACCGAUGGCGAAGGCAGCCCCCUGGGACGUUACUGACGCUGAGACGCGAAAGCGUGGGGAGCAAACAGG
rnacentral:rRNA from 1 species